rnacentral:rRNA from 1 species
UAAGGAAUAUUGGUCAAUGGACGCAAGUCUGAACCAGCCAUGCCGCGUGAAGGAUGAAGGUCCUCUGGAUUGUAAACUUCUUUUAUCUGGGACGAAAACGGGAUUUUUAUCUCAAUUGACGGUACCAGAGGAAUAAGCACCGGCUAACUCCGUGCCAGCAGCCGCGGUAAUACGGAGGGUGCGAGCGUUAUCCGGAUUUACUGGGUUUAAAGGGUGCGUAGGUGGGCUUAUAAGUCAGUGGUGAAAUCUCCGAGCUUAACUUGGAAACUGCCGUUGAUACUAUAGGUCUUGAAUUAUCUGGAGGUAAGCGGAAUAUGUCAUGUAGCGGUGAAAUGCUUAGAUAUGACAUAGAACACCAAUUGCGAGGCAGCUUACUACAUAUAAAUUGACGCUGAGGCACGAAAGCGUGGGGAUCAAACA